rnacentral:tRNA from 1 species
GCACCUGUGGCUCAAAAGGGUAGAGCGCCAGCCCCACAUGCUGGAGGUGGCGGGUUCAAACCCAGCCCUGCU